AUGCACUCCGUUCAAGGCUCUGUAUGGGUAGAACCAAACUUCGGGACGGUGCCAAUUGACACGGGUGAAUUGCCUACUUCCCUUGCUGAAUUGGCAGCUGACCGUGAGGAUUUCUUGGAAAUGUUACGGGAACAUUUGCUUCGUGCCCAGCAACGUAUCAAAUCACAGGCUGACAAACAUCGCAAGGACCGAACAUUUGUAGUUGGUGAAGAGGUUCUUGUCAAACUUCAACCAUAUGCUCAGUCUUCUUUGGUCAAUCGACCUUGCCGCAAGUUAGCACUUAAGUUAUAUGGCCCAUUCCGCAUUACGGAUCGCAUUGGCGCUGCAGCAUACAGACUUGACUUGCCGUCAGAUAGCCUCAUCCACCCUGUUUUUCAUGUCUCACAGUUGAAGCCAUUUACUGCCAAUUACUCUCCGGUGUUUGCAGAACUGCCCGAGCCACCGGAUCUCUCAGCAGUCACUCUUUCUUGA
rnacentral:rRNA from 1 species